ensembl:lncRNA
AUAUAUAUAUAUAUAUAUAUAUAUAUAUAUAUAUAUAUAUAUAUAUAUAUAUAUAUAUAUAUAUAUAUUGUGUUGGACAAACAUCCAUAUGCGGCUGUCUGAGGCCAGUGUGAGGCCAGUGUUAAAACUUGUUAACUGUGGUUAAUGAUCCAUCUCUUUUUUUAAUCCUUUUUCCUUCUUUUUUAUCUUAUUGUUUAUUUAUGAAGUUAGUCUUAUUUUCUUUGGCACUUAAUAUCCUUAAAGUAAUUUUGGUAUUUUUGCACAGUGUCUUCAGCUCUUGGGUGCAUGCAUGAGUGUGUGUAUGCGUGUGUACGUUUGACAUGACGUGUCUGGUAAAGUUUUACUUUUAACUUCAGACCAAGCUGAUAUCUGUGUUUUUGCUGAACUUGGUACUCACUCUGCUGAUACCAGCGCCGUCCAGAAACCUCCUCCGGAAAACUCGUGAACUCCAGAGGUUGCCAAGAUGGAUACUGGAGCAUUAGCAGACUUGGGUCACUCCUCAGUUUGGACACAUAUUUUCACUGAGAUUUUUUUUUCACUACACUUUUAUUUAUAUAAUCCCAAGACACGAAAACAGUUGCUUCAAACUGCUUCAUAUUGUAGGGUAAAAACCAUACAGUAUUAUAAAGAAAGCCUAACAAUCAGACAACCCCAUAUGAGUAGCAGUCGGAAGUCCUAAAAACUCCCUGAAAAGCCUUCAGCUGAUCCAAAAUGCUGCAGCAAGAGUCCUGACAGGGACUAGAAAGAGAGAGCAGAUUUCUCCUGUUUUGGCUUCCUGUUAAAUCCAGAAUUCAAAAUCCUGCUGCUCACAUACAAGGUCUUAAAUAAUCAGGCCCCAUCUUAUCUUAAUGACCUUGUAGUACCAUAUCACCCUAUUAGAGCACUUCGCUCUCGCUCUGCAGGCCUACUUGUUGUUCCUAGAGUAUUUAAAAGUAGAAUGGGAGGCAGAGCCUUCAGUUUUCAGGCCCCUCUUCUGUGGAACCAGCUUCCAGUUUGGAUUCAGGAGACAGACACUAUCUCUACUUUCAAGAUUAGGCUUCAAACUUUCCUUUUUGCUAAAGCAUAUAGUUAGGGCUGGACCAGGUGACCCUGAACCCUCCCUUAGUUAUGCUGCAAUAGACGUAGGCUGCCGGGGAUUCCCAUGAUGCACUGGGUUUUUCCUUUCCAGUCACCUUUCUCACUCACUAUGUGUUAACAGACCUCUCUGCAUUGAAUCACACUUUUUCUCUGUAUGUAUUAUUGUAGGGUCUACCUUACAAUAUAAAGCACCUCGAGGCCACUGUUGCUGUGAUUUGGUGUCAUAUGACUAAAAUUUAAUCUUUUAACAGGAAGAAACCUCCAGCAAAACCAGGCUCAGGGAGAAUUAAAAUUUUCCUCCUGUUAAAGCAAAACACACUGUUCGAGUUUUGCAGCUUAGUCAAUACUUCAAAGAACAGGCAGGAAAGAAAUAUGAUUGCUAUCUCAAAAUUGUCCAUAGCAACAGUGUGAAAGACUUUAAGGCCACUGAACGACCCACAAGCAUCUCGUGUUGUUAGGUAAAAUGUGUAUUGCUGGAAUCAUUCACACUGAUUUCUGCAUCAAAAGCCUCUUUGUGAGAGCUCGACUGUUGCUAGCAGAUCUCCUACAGAUUGCGUGGAAGACACCGACUCAUCUGCAGAAACUCGCCGAACUGGAGUUGAACUUUAAAACGUGCCUUACCUCUAAAACCAACACUUUUCUAAUGGCAGAUAUUCUCCACUUCCAGUUUUUGUGUCACACACAGUUUCAUUACCAGUUGGCAAAUGUUUGCAGACAGGUUGGCAUCCUCCUUGUCACCUACUUGCAACUGACGCAACUUGCAAUAGCAAAAGGGGGUUUUGGUGUGGCUCAAUUUCACGAUACCAGCUGCCAGCAACCGCCCACAGCCACCUGCCAGCUGGUCAGAGAACACAAAGCCUUAGCUGAUGUACUUCCCUGGUGAUGCUUGGAGUUGAAGGUUUUUUCUUUUACAGUUACAUUAUUGUAUCUUGAAAGAUUGGUUAUUAAAAGAAUCAAAAAUAUGAAACUAAUGCAUGUUUAAAAACAUAAUAAAACGCUGAAUGAGUUGUGAGGUUUCUGCAGGGCACUGGUGGCAAUCUGCAGGGACCAGAAUCUUACUGGUAACAGGUAAAAAAGGGAACUUCAACUAAAUCUUCUUCCAGUAAACCUGAGACAGUUUGAGAAAUACAGGAAAUAAAAGUGUGAGUUUUAAAGCCCG